GCGCGCGAGCGUCUCACCUAGGUCACCCUUGAAUAAACUACCUUCGUUGCUUUGGCGGGCCGCCUCCAAGGCCAGCGGCUUCGGCUGCUGCGCGCCCGCCGGAGGACCACAACUCUUGUUUUUAGUGAUGUCUGAGUACUAUAUAAUAGUUAAAACUUUCAACAACGGAUCUCUUGGUUCUGGCAUCGAUGAAGAACGCAGCGAAAUGCGAUAAGUAAUGUGAAUUGCAGAAUUCAGUGAAUCAUCGAAUCUUUGAACGCACAUUGCGCCCUUUGGUAUUCCGAAGGGCAUGCCUGUUCGAGCGUCAUUAUAACCACUCAAGCUCUCGCUUGGUAUUGGGGUUCGCGGCUUCGCGGCUCCUAAACUCAGUGGCGGUGCCUGUCGGCUCUACGCGUAGUAAUACUCCUCGCGUCUGGGUCCGGUAGGUUGCUUGCCAACAACCCCCAAUUUUUUUACAGGUUGACCUCGGAUCAGGUAGGGAUACCCGCUGAACUUAAGCAUAUCAAUA
rnacentral:rRNA from 2 species